CAUUAGAUGGCUGAAAGCAAGCACUGGUCUCUUAAACCACUAAAUAGUAUAUUAGCAAAUACUUCUAAUG
rnacentral:tRNA from 1 species